UACGUAGGGUGCAAGCGUUGUCCGGAAUUAUUGGGCGUAAAGAGCUCGUAGGUGGCCUGUCGCGUCGGCUGUGAAAACUCGGGGCUCAACUCCGAGCUUGCAGUCGAUACGGGCAGGCUAGAGUUCGGCAGGGGAGAACGGAAUUCCCGGUGUAGCGGUGAAAUGCGCAGAUAUCGGGAGGAACACCGGUGGCGAAGGCG
rnacentral:rRNA from 1 species